UAUUUUCUGCAGCAUCCAAGGAUUUUAAAUUAUUGUCUUUUCAGAAAAUAUGUCACACCUGGAGUAAGCUGUGCUAGAGCCACACCAUGCAGGCAUCUCCUAAGAUGUUAAGCUUUACCUAAGGGGUCCCCUGGAAAUAUUUUGGAUUACAGUAGGGGCUACAGCAUCUUUGAAGCAUUCAUCACAGAUCAUUGCUCCAUGGGCUACUAGGGGUGUGCUGAAGAUCAGGUCUAUUAACUUGACUGAUGUGUGCUGGCCUGGCCCUUGUCUGUCUCUGCUGAGGAACGUGAUACUAGUUAACACAGGAAAAUGUGUUUAAAAAGAAGAAUUCAGAAUGUACGGUGGCAUCUGAGGCAGUCACCGACAUGCAGAAAUGCAGCCCUGGGUGUUAGAGGAGAGGUUGGGACUUGCAAGACAGCAGCCUGUGACAGACACUUGCUCCUAUGAGGGUAGAAGCCAUCCCGACUCUUUCACAAAUGACAAGCUUGGCAGAAAGGGGAUUGGAGCCCUCAGUCUCUCUGUGGAAGACAGCCUCAAUACUGUCCAGC